rnacentral:rRNA from 1 species
UGGGGAAUCUUGCGCAAUGGGGGAAACCCUGACGCAGCGACGCCGCGUGCGGGAUGAAGGCCUUCGGGUUGUAAACCGCUUUCAGCAGGGACGAGGCCUUAUGGUGACGGUACCUGCAGAAGAAGCUCCGGCUAAAUACGUGCCAGCAGCCGCGGUAAUACGUAUGGAGCAAGCGUUAUCCGGAUUCAUUGGGCGUAAAGCGCUCGUAGGCGGUCUGUUAGGUCGGCAAGUUAAAUCCGGGGGCUCAACCCCCGUCCGCUUCCGAUACCGGCAGACUUGAGUUUGGUAGGGGAAGGUGGAAUUCCUAGUGUAGCGGUGGAAUGCGCAGAUAUUAGGGAGAACACCGGUGGCGAAGGCGGCCUUCUGGGCCAUAACUGACGCUGAGGAGCGAAAGCUAGGGGAGCGAACAGG